rnacentral:rRNA from 1 species
AUUGAACGCUGGCGGCAGGCUUAACACAUGCAAGUCGAGCGGUGAUGAGGUGCUUGCACCUUAUCUUAGCGGCGGACGGGUGAGUAAUGCUUAGGAAUCUGCCUGUUAGUGGGGGACAACAUUCCGAAAGGAAUGCUAAUACCGCAUACGUCCUACGGGAGAAAGCAGGGGAUCUUCGGACCUUGCGCUAAUAGAUGAGCCUAAGUCGGAUUAGCUAGUUGGUGGGGUAAAGGCCUACCAAGGCGACGAUCUGUAGCGGGUCUGAGAGGAUGAUCCGCCACACUGGGAUUGAGACACGGCCCAGACUCCUACGGGAGGCAGCAGUGGGGAAUAUUGGACAAUGGGGGGAACCCUGAUCCAGCCAUGCCGCGUGUGUGAAGAAGGCCUUAUGGUUGUAAAGCACUUUAAGCGAGGAGGAGGCUACUGAGACUAAUACUCUUGGAUAGUGGACGUUACUCGCAGAAUAAGCACCGGCUAACUCUGUGCCAGCCGCCGCCGUAAAAC